CUUCUCGCUCCUCUCCCGCACAACCCGGGGCAGCAGCCGCCGUCCCGGCCCGGUCCGCUGCUCCGCUCCGUUCUGCGGUUCCCAUGCGGGGCGGCCCCGCGUCCACCCCCCGCCCAUGGCCCGGCUCUCGGUGAAGGAGCACCUGGACGGGAUCCUCAGCGACUUCGAAGCCCUCAAGAAGUCGUUUGAGGCAGAGGAUGCAGGUGAUGCUCCCGGAUCCCCCAUUGUGUCCCCGCUGCCUGUGAGUGCCACUGAGAGCCACCGGGUGCUGCAGCCCGGCCCUGCACCACACAGCCCAUUGCUGCGGGGUCAGCACCUUGCUGGCCGGGCUCCCGGCAGCAUCGCCUCCUUCCAGAGCCACACGGGGCCGGGCAGCGAUGGUGAGAGCCUGCGCAGCUCCAGCUCCAGCCUGGAGAGCCCCGCGGCCCCCCAACCUCCUGCAGCCUCCCUGGCUGCCGACCCCUGCUUGAAGAAAGUACCAUCACACGGCUGCGUGUUCCCAGCGGAAGCAGAAUGUUCCCUGCAUGUGGCCGCCGGGCACAGCUCUCUGCCAGCACUGGACCUGCACAUCGCCGAGGAGCCAGGCAUCCCCCUGCCAGCCCCACACCCCACACAGCCAUGGGGUGCCCACAGCCCCGCUGCCCUGCCCCACACCCGCCUGCCUUCCUCCUCCUCCUCAGGUGGUGAGAUGGCCCCAGGGCUGCCCCGCACACAGCUCAGGGUCAGCCUCAGUGCCAGCCCCCGCCUGGCUCGCCCGACCCCCCACACCCUCACCGGCCCUGGUGAGGGGCUGCUCCCCCCAGCUGCCCCCUUCAAGCUGGUGUCACAGCCACAGACGGUGCAGGUGAGCUCCCAGCCUGCCUUCCUCGGGGGGGUGGUGCUGGGGCCGGGCACCCCAGUGGCACUGAGGAACAUCAGCAGCACCAGCCCCAGCACGGGGACCUGCUUGGUGAUGUCACGAGGGCUCAGCCAGGCUGCAGAUGGAUGCUGUGCCACAGUGACACCGGAGCACGGUAGGACUCGCUCCUCCCCUCUGUCCUUUCUCCGGGUGUGACAUUGCCACCUCAUGCCACCACCGCUGGUGCUGGGGACUGGUGUUGGUGGGGAUGUGGUCACAUUAGUCAAAGCCUCUCAAGAUCCCUAAGCCCUUGCUCCCAUCCCCACGUUGUUCCCGUGAUUGUGCAUUCAUGAUAGUGGAGAUGUGUGAUGGCCAUGUGUUCCAGGUACCAUUUGAAUGCGUGGCUGUUGGUGGCACUGAGUGGCACCAUUCCCUGCUCAAGAACCACCACGCAGCCCAGCAGUGCCCCGUGUCCCCUCCAUCCCCUUGCCAUGGGGAGCCCGGUCACAGCACGGGGCCCCUAGGCACCAGGCUCAGCCGCGUCCCCAUCCAUCCCCAGGGCAGUGCCGUGCUCGGAGCCGGACGCCACGGUGGCCGCCUGUUUUUGUGCCUGGGGAGCGCUGUCUGUGUGCCUGGGGAGCACAGCUGUCUCUCUCAGGUGUCUCGCAUGCCACCGUCGCCGCGGCUCUAAGUACUGACGCGCGCAAAGGCAUCCAUCCCUCCAUCCCUCCAUCCGUCCCUCCGCUCGGGGCUGCGUGAAUCAUGCGGCAGCAAUGCCCGUGGCCGAGCCGGCCAGGCUGCACCCGCGCUGGGGGACACGUUGGGGACAGUGGUUUGUGUGCUGGGGACGGGAUGGGAUGGGUCACGGAGUGGGCGUGAGCCGGAGGGCAGCGUGCGGGCGCCGGGAUGGGGACGGUGCGCUCCCGGGCGCGCUCCUCUUUUCAGGAAGCGCCGAGCUUCGCUCCACGGCCGCCCCGUUUCACUUCCACCCAGCGCCCACGCAGCGCCCCGGGGUGAGGAGGAGGCGGAGGAGGAGCGGAGGAGGGGCUGUGGGCUGCAGCUUUCUCCUGCCUGCACCCCAGGAGUUAUUCGGCCGGUGAGCGGUGACCGGCUCGUGGUGCAGCGAGGUAGGGGUGGCCGAGGGCGCGGGGCGAAGGGCAGGGUGGGUGUGCAGGUCCCUUGAUGCGUGGCGUGGGGCUGCUCGCUGUCACUGCAGGAUUUCAGUCCCCAUCGCCACGGCAGGGCCCUGCGCUCUCACUUCUGCUUCUGCUUGUGGCUCUGCUUGUGUCUCUGGCUGUGGGGACAACUGUCACUGCUGUCCCUUCGGGUUGUCACUGCGUGGCUCUUUCAUGGGCUGGGGACCCUGCACCCCAUUGCCUUCCACCUGUGCAGCAGAGCUUCUGGGUCACGGGGCCGCACUCCUGGCGAUGCUCGCUCCUUUCCCAUCCCCUCCUGCCCACCUCCACCCCCUGAGCUUAUUACAGACUUCCCGGCCAACAUGCCGAUUAACGCCGCAUCAGUAAUUAAACCAUGCUGGGAGACCACGAACCCGGGUUUACCCGUCCCAGCCUGGAAAAUAAACCCUCCUCAAUUAGCCCGGAACA
rnacentral:lncRNA from 1 species